UCUUGAUUGAAUACGAAAGAAAUUAAAACUAAAAUCUGGAUAUUAUUUUCUUCAGUAUUUUCGCAUUGUUAAUUUUAUGAUACAUUUUUUUUUAACAUAUCCUAAGCUUUAUUAUAAUCAAUUACGAAAUAGUAAAUUAUGAUACUGAUAAAAAAACUUGUAAAGAUAUGUAAGAACAAAAUGCAGAAUUUUAUGUAGAAUGAAAUUCUCGUGGUUCUACCUUUUAAAAAGUGCUGGAAUCCAUCCACACAGGUGAUCGUGUGACCGAAAAAGCGACUAUUAAUUGUAUGGAUAAGAAUUGCGCAGGAUCCAAUUGCUGCAAAUAUUUUUGACUGUCCUUGCUCCAGUAAACUGUGCCAUGUUGCUAUGUCACAAUAAAUAAAGAUAACAUUA